AAAGAAUUAGUUAAAAUAAACAUUAAUAUGUCAUAUUAAAAUUAUUAGGAAACCCUAAUAUUCUUUU
rnacentral:tRNA from 1 species